rnacentral:snRNA from 1 species
AGAGAUUUUGAAAUUCAUACAAA